rnacentral:piRNA from 1 species
UUAAUUAAAAUAAGAAAGUCAGA